rnacentral:rRNA from 1 species
UGGGGAAUCUUAGACAAUGGGGGAAACCCUGAUCUAGCCAUGCCGCGUGAGUGACGAAGGUCUUAGGGUCGUAAAGCUCUUUCGCCAGGGAUGAUAAUGACAGUACCUGGUAAAGAAACCCCGGCUAACUCCGUGCCAGCAGCCGCGGUAAUACGGAGGGGGUUAGCGUUGUUCGGAAUUACUGGGCGUAAAGCGCACGUAGGCGGACUAUCAAGUCAGGGGUGAAAUCCGGGGGCUCAACCCCCGAACUGCCUUAGAUACUGGUUGUCUUCAGUUCGAGAGAGGUGAGUGGAAUUCCGAGUGUAGAGGUGAAAUUCGUAGAUAUUCGGAGGAACACCAGUGGCGAAGGCGGCUCACUGGCUCGAUACUGACGCUGAGGUGCGAAAGCGUGGGGAGCAAACAGGAUUAGAUACCCCCGUAGUCC